CUCCCUGCCACCCCUGGCCCCUCCCUGCCCCACCCCUGGCCCCUCCCUCCACCUACUUCCCUUCCUAUCCACCUCCUUUAUGUUGUCCUUUUGUUUGUAGCUCUUUGUAUGAAGUGCCUUAACAAGCAGCUUGUUCUGAAGUAAUAACCUGUUCUCCGUGUAUGUGGAAACAUCCGUCCACCCACGAUGUUACUCAUCACGUAACAUCACUUUAUGUUCCACACAUUGAAUCAACACCCAUCCUACCACUUUUGAUGUUCAGUAAGACACAUUGCAUCAAGGUUUAGGCUGUUUUUCUAUAGUUGGAUGGAGGGAGGAUGUAUGUUCUGCUGCUGGCUUGGCUGCAGUGCCCCAGAAUAUUGACAACUAUAUGAAGAUGAUCCACGGCAGAGAAAGCCCCUGGAUGGAGAUGACAGCUCAACGAGCCAGAGUGCAGACUAGUUCAUUAGGAUCCUAACGUUACUCCCCCUCGAGCUUCACAAUCAGAACACUAAGAACUGAUCUAUUCUAGAACUGGAACGUUAAGUAGCUCCACGCUCCCCGGACUCUCCGGGGGUUCCUUCCUGAUUCUAGAACUGGAACGUUAAGUAGCUCCACCCUCCCGGACUCUCCAGGGGUUCCUUCCUGUUUGGGAGGACUUAUCUACCUACCGUACGAUGCAAACGAGAAGAAAUGGGUGUUGUUGCAGUUUGACGUUCUUCUGGGUGGGCAGUUGGUCACUCCACUUUAUUCUCCUUGAUGUGCCACAGCUAAACCAUCUUGGCACCCUGUACACUUUGUAAAUACUUGAUUUAAUUUUUAAUUGAUUGUUUUAAAAACAAGUUGAAAAGGCUGGUUGACAUGUUGACGAUGUGAGCUGAUGCAUCUGUAAGUUUUGAAUCUGGUCAGGACUGGAGAUUAGAUUUUUCCCUUUUUACUCAAACCCCCUUCACAGAAUGAGCUGCAACGAUGGCCUGUUUAGUCAGUGAAGUUCUGAUUUGUCAAAGAGCACUCUGUGUUCGGAUGUAGUCUACGACCAUUUAAUUCUCACAUUGUGUAUGAUGAUAUGUGCUCCUUGUGCUUUUAGCCAAAGCACAGAUUAAACUACAGUUUCACCCUUGACAUUUAAUAAUCAAUGCAGUUGUUCAACCCUGUUACAUUAAGUUUAGAUAAUAUUCCUCUUCUCCUUCCAGUGUUGACAGGAUGUCCCUCUAGACAGGAUGUCCCUCUAGACAGGUGGAAUAAGGAUCAGAGCAGCAUGUUAUUUUAUCACCAGCUUUUCUUCCUUCAACUGACUCAACAAGCCACUCCCCACAAUCCCUGCAAAGAGUGACUGUUAUUAUUAUUAUAAAGGUAAAUGAAUAUUGUAUCAUGUAGUUGAAGAGACUUGCUGCAGUGCAGCUCAAAUUGGCUCUGAGGAGUAAUGUAUAUGAAUGGGUAUCUGAUCUACACUCUAGCUGUUAGGUUGGUCUGUGUGAUCGGCAAUGGGGACGUCACUCUAGCUGUUAGGUUGGUCUGUGUGAUCGGCAAUGGGGACGUCACUCUAGCUGUUAGGUUGGUCUGUGUGAUCGGCAAUGGGGACGUCACUCUAGCUGCAAGUAUUAGAUAAAAACAUAUGUUGUCUAUCUUCCCUUACGUUAAACCCACACCAGUUGCUUUGUAUCUGAACAAACUAUCAGACCCCUCAAUGUAGCAGGGAAAAAAGUGUUUCUGUGCAUCACGCGAGUCAGCUGGUUAGAAUUACACACCAGUUUCUGUUUUGUUGUACAAUAUGAAGUUAAAUCCUUAGUGGUGUGGACGGACUAGUAACAGGCCAACACACCGACUGCUAGGCCGUCCCUGUACUGAAACCAGAUGUGCUUAGUGCUUCCUUUUGU